rnacentral:rRNA from 1 species
CCUACGGGAGGCAGCAGUGGGGAAUCUUGCGCAAUGGACGAAAGUCUGACGCAGCCACGCCGCGUGAGUGAAGAAGGCCUUCGGGUUGUAAAGCUCUGUCGGAGGGGACAUGGUACCCUCAAAGGAAGCACCGGCUAACUUCGUGCCAGCAGCCGCGGUAAUACGAAGGGUGCAAGCGUUGCUCGGAAUUAUUGGGCGUAAAGGGUAGGUAGGUGGUUACGUAUGUCUGGGGUGAAAUCCCUGAGCUCAACUCAGGAAGUGCCUUGGAAACGGCGUAACUAGAAUACUGGAGAGGUCUGUAGAAUUCCUGGUGUAGCGGUGAAAUGCGUAGAGAUCAGGAGGAAUACCAGAGGCGAAGGCGGCAGACUGGACAGUAUUGACACUAAACUACGAAAGCGUGGGGAGCAAACAGGAUUAGAUACCCUAGUAGUC